UCUCUGCGGGCCUCAACCGCUUCUCAGUGCUGCAAUCCAGCCCCUCACCUCAACCCUCCACUGCUCCUCCACAAAAAACAGAUUCUGACGCCAGGACAACUCUUGGAGGUUGCAGCACAGGCAGAAAGGGAAGAAAGCGUGGAAAGCGCGGUGACAAGCCGCUGAGCGCUGCGCCGCCACUGCCUCAGCCUGAACCGUUCACGAGUUCUAAGGAGUAGUUGGAGAAUCCAGCCCCGGAGUACCCAGAAAAGAAUUGGACAAAGAAGAAGUCGUGCCACGGAUACCGAGUGACACCGAAGAGGAAUCUGAGCAAGAGCGCAGAGUCCCAGAGCCUGAGAAACCUGCGCUGUUUCAGGAGAAGAUUGUGCUGGAGGACAAUGAAGAGUAGACCUUCGAAUGUGUGAAGGAGAACCUGGAUGAAUCUAGGUUGAGCUUGUCUCCCUUCAUGAGGGAGUUGAUGUCGGCUGUUUGCGAGGCAGCAGCGAAAGAUAACACCAAGUGCCGAGUGGACAUGGCACGCUUGCAGAAGAGUUUGCCUGUAUUCAACUACCGCAACUCAGACACUGAGCAACAGCUGCAUGCGCUUCACUCCCUUCAGGCUCUGAUCGUCAUCCUUGAUUAGCCUCAGAACCUCCUCCGGAUUUUCUUUGAUUGCAUGUAUGACGGGGACGUCAUCUCCGAGGACCCGUUUUACUACUGGGGACAAGCAGUAGACCCGAGCAGCUGGGUAAAGGUGUGGCCCUUAAGUCACUCACAUCAUUCUUCACCUGGCUGCGGGAGGUGGAGCUGGAGU